AAUAUUGGACAAUGGGCGAAAGCCUGAUCCAGCCAUGCCGCGUGUGUGAAGAAGGNCUNNGGAUUNUNAAGCACUUUAAGCGANNNNNAGGAGCUCUUGGUUAAUACCCAAGAUGCUUGGACGUUACUCGCAGAAUAAGCACCGGCUAACUCUGUGCCAGCAGCCGCGGUAAUACAGAGGGUGCAAGCGUUAAUCGGAUUUACUGGGCGUAAAGCGCGCGUAGGUGGCCAAUUAAGUCAAAUGUGAAAUCCCCGAGCUUAACUUGGGAAUUGCAUUCGAUACUGGUUGGCUAGAGUAUGGGAGAGGAUGGUAGAAUUCCAGGUGUAGCGGUGAAAUGCGUAGAGAUCUGGAGGAAUACCGAUGGCGAAGGCAGCCAUCUGGCCUAAUACUGACACUGAGGUGCGAAAGCAUGGGGAGCAAACAG
rnacentral:rRNA from 1 species